AUAAAGCAGGGGGUGUUUUAGGGCGUGGCUAUGAUGUGAUUGACAGUUCGCAGCCUGUCAAUCAUGACAAAGGUUUAGCAAAGCUUACCCGUGGCACAUAAACUUCAAUUUGGAGUUUGACCAGCUUUCUUCGUAGUGACUGUGACACUUUGGUUGCCUAAUAAUGUCUUGUUCAGCAUUCGGUUGGACGACAAGACACUCAAAGGAGUCGGUUCAGUUUUUUCCGGAUAAGUAACGUUAAAUGUUUUUUAAAUACUGUUUUUCGUUAGCCAACGUUAGCAUCCCAAUUAAUAUCAGUUAGCUAGCUAGAGUGCACCUUACUAACCAAGCUAGCGGGCUAAUGUUAUGCAGACGUAUACACGGAUUCAAAUAUAUAUUUAACGUUACAGUCGUAUACUUUAGGUAUGCACAACGGUCUCGCCGGUGAUCUAUUUUUAACCAUAUGUGGUGUUAUUGCUAAUUGAUGCGCAUGCCUAAUCCGCAAGCUAACAUUAUCAUUACAUGUAAUGGUAGCUAAUUUUAGCUUAAAAUCAAAGCCUGAUAUAGCUAACGUUAUGGUGCAAAUUCAUAUUAAACCCUAUAUUCGCACGGGAUUAGAAUCAUUUUGGGACCACGUGUGAUUUAGAAAUUACCCCCUCACAUCUGAGUUUUGUGUGGCGCAUUCGCACAGGACAAGCAGAGACUGCUUUUACUUGAAUAUACUGAAAUUGUUCCUGCCCGAGAGUUUGGCAACGUUACCUGGAGGUGCCUGAAGGACAGGCACAUAUCCUAUCAUCCCCGCCGCGGCAGCACCCACACAGCAUCACCGUCACCUCACCCUCGGACAAAGCCACGGGGGGAGCGCGUAGACUCGGAGACGGAGGUCUCCGGGAGGAGCAGUGGGCCAGAAUAUGCGUUUUUGCGAUAAAAUGUUGCACAUGAAAAAAUAUAUAGAUAUUAAAUUACAUUAGUGUUCUAUCUUGAAAAAUCUUCAGUUCUGCAGCCAAAUGUAUUUUAUAAAGCACCAGGUUCAAUAUUGGAGCGUCACUAUGUAAGAUAUUUUCUCAAAAAAUUCCAAAUACAUUAUUUCAGACUGUUAAUGUACCUAACAAGCAUGCUGUUGCAGUAGUUAUUAACCACUGUUGUUGAUGCUGUUACACUGAUGUAUUUCUUAAACUUACUGUCUACUAAUCUAUUUAUAGACCUUCUGUCAGCACAUUAGUCUGUUUUAAGAUGAGUCACAUACGUGUUACAAUCUAUAUUUACAAGUGCUGUUUAUUACCAAAAUGUAUAUCAUUAAAAAAGUGUUGUGUACAAUACACAUUGUCUAAGAUACAUUUGACAUGUAGCAGUAUGUUUACUUAAUACUGCAUGUCCUCAACUGAAGCAUAGAUUCAUGUACAAGCUCAUAUAUUAAUAUAAUUAAUUGUGAUCUACCAUGCCUUAACUACAUGUUUGUCUUUUACCACAGUCAACCUCUGCGUCAUAUACCGGGUCAUGUCAUAUACCGGGUCGUUCCUCCACUCUGCAUCAGAUCAUAGUCCAGACAACCACACUGCCAUUGGAACCUGACUCCUGCUACCGCUUCACUCCUGCCAUCCACCGGACCAGACACCCACCACCACUGGACCCCACCACUAGCCGGCCUACUAUCUUUCUCUGAUGGACCCGCUCCUUCCCAGAAACCACCGGACCCGUUCUCCAUCCUGGAAACUUGGAUUUCCUUUUCCCCCUCAGAAACCUGGACUCGAUACUUGAGUACUUUAAAUAAAACCUGUUAAUUCACA